rnacentral:rRNA from 1 species
UACGUAGGGUGCGAGCGUUGUCCGGAAUUAUUGGGCGUAAAGAGCUCGUAGGCGGUUUGUCGCGUCGGCUGUGAAAACUCGGGGCUCAACCCCGAGCCUGCAGUCGAUACGGGCAGGCUCGAGUUCGGUAGGGGAGACUGGAAUUCCUGGUGUAGCGGUGAAAUGCGCAGAUAUCAGGAGGAACACCCGUGGCGAAGGCGGCUCUCUGGGACGGUACUGACGCUGAGACGCGAAAGCGUGGGGAGCGAACAGG